rnacentral:rRNA from 1 species
GACGAACGCUGGCGGCGUGCCUAAUACAUGCAAGUAGAACGCUGAAGGCGGAGCUUGCUCUUCUGGAUGAGUUGCGAACGGGUGAGUAACGCGUAGGUAACCUGCCUGGUAGCGGGGGAUAACUAUUGGAAACGAUAGCUAAUACCGCAUAAGAGUAGAUGUUGCAUGACAUUUACUUAAAAGGUGCAAUUGCAUCACUACCAGAUGGACCUGCGUUGUAUUAGCUAGUUGGUGGGGUAACGGCUUACCAAGGCGACGAUACAUAGCCGACCUGAGAGGGUGAUCGGCCACACUGGGACGGGGACACGGCCCAGACUCCUACGGGAGGCAGCAGUAGGGAAUUUUCGGCAAUGGACGGAAGUCUGACCGAGCAACGCCGCGUGAGUGAAGAAGGUUUUCGGAUCGUAAAGCUCUGUUGUAAGAGAAGAACGAGUGUGAGAGUGGAAAGUUCACACUGUGACGGUAUCUGACCAGAAAGGGACGGCUAACUACGUG